rnacentral:rRNA from 1 species
AGAACGAACGCUGGCGGCAUGCCUAAUACAUGCAAGUCGAACGAACUCUUCGGAGUUAGUGGCGCACGGGUGCGUAACGCGUGGGAAUCUGCCCCUUGGUUCGGAAUAACAGUUGGAAACGACUGCUAAUACCGGAUGAUGACGAAAGUCCAAAGAUUUAUCGCCAAGGGAUGAGCCCGCGUAGGAUUAGCUAGUUGGUGAGGUAAAGGCUCACCAAGGCAACGAUCCUUAGCUGGUCUGAGAGGAUGAUCAGUCACACUGGAACUGAGACACGGUCCAGACUCCUACGGGAGGCAGCAGUGGGGAAUAUUGGACAAUGGGCGAAAGCCUGAUCCAGCCAUGCCGCGUGUGUGAAGAAGGUCUUCGGAUUGUAAAGCACUUUAAGUUGGGAGAAGGGUUGUAACCUAAUACGUUGCAACUUUGACGUUACCGACAGAAUAAAGCACCGGCUAACUUCGUGCCAGCAGCCGCGGU